rnacentral:misc_RNA from 1 species
AUAAACAAAUAAUAGAAUUCCUAACUAAUAAAAUUCGUAACUUCCUAAUUCUACAGUGAAUAUAAUUCCUAAAUAGAUUUUGAAUCUUCCAAUACUGGAUCACUGGGAUGUUGUCAUUUAGUAUUUCUAAUCAAAUAGGGCUGUGAAUUCUCUUGAAUUAGCAUUCAGUUGAAAAAUUCAGCCUGUAAUGCAUUUCUUUUGCAAUGUGGGAUGUCAUACCCUAGGGAUCCGUGAUGUACCCUCACUCAGCUGUGAUGCCUGAUAGUAUGUGAUUCCUUGAGAAGCUCAGUUUAAUGAUAUGUUGUCUAUUUAUUUCUUUAUUCCUUUGUUUUCUAUUUUCUUUUAGAUAUCUUUGUAGCUGUAAAUCAGGUUAUUCAAAUUGUCUCCAGUAGCAGCACCCACUGUUUUUGGUGCAGUUCACAUGGCAUCAUAUAGUCUUAUUGUUAUAACAACUUCUGCUGAAAAAUGAUUUGCAGUAAAAACUAUGCCCAGUAAAGAAAAUCAGAAGACAGAUACAAAUAGUUUUUUCCUGCAUCUUCUCACUGUUUGAACGAUUUGAAUUUCUCAGCUAGUUUUGCAAAGGACCUUUUACUAAAGAACUUUUGGAUGUAUACUGGGAAGGAUGAACCAUGGGUCUACAUAUACUGACAUUAGAUCAUGCAUUGUUUAGAAAUUUGGGGUGCUGGGAAGUUGCAAUGAUUGAGCACUCAGCUUAUAUGUGCUUUAUUACAAAAUGAGGUUGUAUGUAAGGUCUUGUCAGCUGACAUAGAUUGAUCACAUGUGGCCUCUUUCUUCAGAUUCAAGACUGAGAGAGUGUUUAAUGAAAGAUUCACGUUUUUCUGUGGCAUUUCAGGAGAAUAAAAGGUUGCAACAUUUUCUUGUUAGUUCAAGCCAUUUUGUUGUUGUUUGCAUUUAGUUGUUUCCUUUUAAUUUUUCAAGCAUUUCUUGUUGAAGGUGGCUUUAAUGAUAUAAGGUAAAAGUUCUCGGGUUAGCAGGAGCAUCUUGCAUAUAACAAUUUUAAACCAUAAAGUUCCAUUUUGUGACUACUCAAUGGUUAAAAGAAGUUAUACUUUUUCUUUAUUCUGUGUCUAGUGCUCUGCUAUCUGCUCAAAGCUGUUUGUCAUUCCUUGACAUUAUAUUCUUUAUAUCUGAAUACAUUUUGGUCACACAGAGAGGGAAGGGGAAAAAAGGAAAUAUAAUAAAAUAGUUUCCAUGAAUGUUGUUUAGAAGUUGGCUGCACUGAUGUUUUUUGUAUGCUACAAUUUAUUUCCAUCUGGUGCUUUGACGGUGCAGAUAUGGCCUCCCAAGAGUGUCAA